rnacentral:rRNA from 1 species
UACGAAGGGGGGCUAGCGUUGUUCGGAAUUACUGGGCGUAAAGCGCACGUAGGCGGAUAUUUAAGUCAGGGGUGAAAUCCCAGAGCUCAACUCUGGAACUGCCUUUUGAUACUGGGUAUCUCGAGUAUGGAAGAGGUGAGUGGAAUUCCGAGUGUAGAGGUGAAAAUUCGUAGAUAUUCGGAGGAACACCAGUGGCGAAAGGCGCUCACUGGUCCAUUACUGACGCUGAGGUGCGAAAAGCGUGGGG